UACGUAGGGGGCAAGCGUUGUCCGGAUUUAUUGGGCGUAAAGAGCGUGUAGGCGGUUAGGUAGGUCCGUUGUGAAAACUCGAGGCUCAACCUCGAGACGCCGAUGGAAACCAUCUAACUAGAGUCCGGAAGAGGAGAGUGGAAUUCCUGGUGUAGCGGUGGAAUGCGCAGAUAUCAGGAGGAACACCGGUGGCGAAGGCGGGUCUCUGGGCCGUUACUGACGCUGAGGAGCGAAAGCGUGGGGAGCGAACAGG
rnacentral:rRNA from 1 species